UACUCAGUAUAUUUGAUAGUAUACGUUUUAAUAUAAUCAGCUAGCUGAUUAAAGAAAGGGUAG
rnacentral:sRNA from 1 species